GGGGGCGUGGCGGAACAGGUAGACGCAGCGGACUUAAAAUCCGCUGGCCGCAAGGCCGUGCCGGUUCGAUUCCGGCCGCCCCCA
rnacentral:tRNA from 1 species